AGUACAAACUGCCAGUGGAGACGUUCUCAGCAGCCUGUUGGCACGACGAGCAAAACAUCAGGUUUCGUUAUGAGUUGUCCUGUGUAGGGACAGCCACAGUCCCUGUCUAGAACUACAAAUCCCAUCAACUAACUUCCGCGAUGACCUACGUCACGUCACGUGACCAACUCUAUAAGUGACCCGGUCAUCCUCAACUUGUUCUCUCUCUCUGUGGACCUUCGCGUCAUACAGACAUAAAGAGAUACCCCCGCUCAGCAGAACAUCCAAAAUCACGACGUCUGCCUUGCAAGAAAGAAGACUCAACGUGCUUUCGUAUAUACCACUGGCCACGGUAAAGAGUACCUAAGUCGAGUCGUCUCACUCAAUUGAGUUACAACCGGUUUAUUUGUUUAUCAUAAGUAACAUUACGACUGCAGCCCAAGCAGUUAAUUAAAAGUUAGAAGCGACCGGAUUCCUUCUGACUUAAUCGCUGUGCACAUUAUCAUCAGAGACUUUUCCUCACGAACGACGAAGCUUCGGAUCAAGGACGUCUCUGCGCUUUCACAGAUGCGACCCAUGAGCUUUCUGUGAGCCUCCGCGAGUACCCGAAAUUCCACGAAACUUCGGGACAUCGAUACUUGAAUCGCACAACCUCAAAGAACUCCAAAUUGCCUUCACCCGAGUGUAUAUGAGUGCUAUUGGCUGUAGUGUCUAUGUAAUACGGU